GGGGGCUCCUCGCCGGAGGACGAGGCGGCUGCAGCCCAGCCCAGGGAAGAGCGGAGCGCGGCUCACACCGAAAGACAGCAACAAAAUAUGCCUUGAAAGCCCCAACAGUAACUUCAGGGUAUGGAUAAUGAACAAAGGUGUACAGAACAGCAACAGUGUGUCUACUCAACUUCUCUCUAAUUAUGCCACCUAUACUUGAAACUUCCUUGUGCUUAAAGAGCUCUGUAAUCUUUUGUCCAGCAUCAAGCCCACACUGAUGCUCCAGAGGGAUGACUGGCCCAUGUUGAUAUGGACAAAUACACCCUAAACACUGACAAUGUCUUGGGAGUGUUUGGAAGAAUUAAGUCUUGAGAUACCAGAAGGAAUCUGAAAGAUUUCUCAGAAAACAAAGGUAUUAACUAUCUUUAAAUAGCUAAAAAUCAUGAGUCUGUGUUGCAUUAAAUGAAGCUAUAAUUUUAAGCUAUUUUUUAAAUGUUGACGACUGACUGAAC